CAGAUUUCUUCGGAAUGAAGUUUUAGUGACUGAGUGGCGGACGGGUGAGUAACGCGUGGGUAACCUGCCUCACACAGGGGGAUAACAGUUGGAAACGGCUGCUAAUACCGCAUAAGCGCACAGUACCGCAUGGUACAGUGUGAAAAACCCCGGUGGUGUGAGAUGGACCCGCGUCUGAUUAGCUAGUUGGCAGGGCAACGGCCUACCAAGGCGACGAUCAGUAGCCGACCUGAGAGGGUGACCGGCCACAUUGGGACUGAGACACGGCCCAAACUCCUACGGGAGGCAGCAGUGGGGAAUAUUGCACAAUGGGGGAAACCCUGAUGCAGCGACGCCGCGUGAGCGAAGAAGUAUUUCGGUAUGUAAAGCUCUAUCAGCAGGGAAGAAGAAAUGACGGUACCUGACUAAGAAGCACCGGCUAAAUACGUGCCAGCAGCCGCGGUAAUACGUAUGGUGCAAGCGUUAUCCGGAUUUACUGGGUGUAAAGGGAGCGCAGGCGGAAGGCUAAGUCUGAUGUGAAAGCCCGGGGCUCAACCCCGGUACUGCAUUGGAACUGGUCAUCUAGAGUGUCGGAGGGGUAAGUGGAAUUCCUAGUGUAGCGGUGAAAUGCGUAGAUA
rnacentral:rRNA from 1 species